rnacentral:rRNA from 1 species
CCUACGGGUGGCAGCAGUGGGGAAUAUUGGGCAAUGGGCGCAAGCCUGACCCAGCAACGCCGCGUGAAGGAAGAAGGCUUUCGGGUUGUAAACUUCUUGUGUCAGGGAAGAGUAGAAGACGGUACCUGACGAAUAAGCCAGGGCUAACUACGUGCCAGCAGCCGCGGUAAUACGUAGGUGGCAAGCGUUGUCCGGAUUUACUGGGUGUAAAGGGCGUGUAGCCGGGUUGACAAGUCAGAUGUGAAAUCCUGCGGCUUAACCGGCGAACUGCAUUUGAAACUGUUGAUCUUGAGUACUGGAGAGGCAGCCGGAAUUCCUAGUGUAGCGGUGAAAUGCGUAGAUAUUAGGAGGAACACCAGUGGCGAAGGCGGUCUGCUGGACAGCAACUGACGGUGAGGCGCGAAAGCGUGGGGAGCAAACAGGAUUAGAUACCCUAGUAGUC